UAGGCAUUUGUCAAACGAAGCACUUAAAACAAGUGGUGAAAAAAGUUUGUUCACUAUUCUUCAAAAAAAAUUUCCGGAGGCGGAAGACAUACAAGUGAAGGGUAUUUCAGGUGGUUGAGGUGCAAUGUACGAAGUGUACGUCCAGUUGACUGUAUUUAAGAAUCUAUCUAGGGUACAGCAACAUAGGUUGGUUAACGAGGCCUUGAAAGCGGAGAUACAAGACGUGCAUGGGAUCAGAAUCACUACAGCUCUUCCCGGCAAAGAAUAGAGGUGUACAUUUUUUAAGUAGGUUAUGUGUAAUUUUUGUUUGAAGAAAUGCGGUAAAGAUAUUUGUGUACAGCAACACCUGCCAUGUAAUUUUAGAAAAAUAAAUGGCUUCUUCGUCUGUACUUGUG
rnacentral:lncRNA from 1 species